rnacentral:rRNA from 1 species
CCUACGGGGUGCAGCAGUGGGGAAUAUUGGACAAUGGGCGAAAGCCUGAUCCAGCCAUGCCGCGUGUGUGAAGAAGGCCUUCGGGUUGUAAAGCACUUUCAGUGGGGAAGAAAGCCUUGGGGCUAAUACCCUCGAGGAAGGACAUCACCCACAGAAGAAGCACCGGCUAACUCCGUGCCAGCAGCCGCGGUAAUACGGAGGGUGCGAGCGUUAAUCGGAAUUACUGGGCGUAAAGCGCGCGUAGGCGGUCUGAUAAGCCGGUUGUGAAAGCCCCGGGCUCAACCUGGGAACGGCAUCCGGAACUGUCAGGCUAGAGUGCAGGAGAGGAAGGUAGAAUUCCCGGUGUAGCGGUGAAAUGCGUAGAGAUCGGGAGGAAUACCAGUGGCGAAGGCGGCCUUCUGGACUGACACUGACGCUGAGGUGCGAAAGCGUGGGUAGCAAACAGGAUUAGAUACCCCGAGUAGUC